GAUGAACGCUAGCGGGAGGCUUAACACAUGCAAGUCGAGGGGCAGCACUGAUAGCAAUAUUAGGUGGCGACCGGCGGACGGGUGAGUAACGCGUAUGCAACCUACCCUUUACAGGGGGAUAGCCCGGAGAAAUUCGGAUUAAUACCCCAUAGAUCAGUGAUUCUGCAUGGGAUUACUGGUAAAGCUUCGGCGGUAAAGGAUGGGCAUGCGUCCCAUUAGCUAGUUGGUAGGGUAACGGCCUACCAAGGCAACGAUGGGUACGGGGUCUUAAAGGAUGGACCCCGCACACUGGCACUGAGACACGGGCCAGACUCCUACGGGAGGCAGCAGUGAGGAAUAUUGGACAAUGGGGGAAACCCUGAUCCAGCCAUGCCGCGUGCAGGAUGAAGGCCUUCGGGUUGUAAACUGCUUUUGUACGGAACGAAAAGGUCUUUUCUAAUAAAGAAGGCUGAUGACGGUACCGUAAGAAUAAGCACCGGCUAACUACGUG
rnacentral:rRNA from 1 species